rnacentral:rRNA from 1 species
UACGGAGGGGGCUAGCGUUGUUCGGAAUUACUGGGCGUAAAGCGUACGUAGGCGGCCUUGUAAGUUAGAGGUGAAAGCCCGGGGCUCAACUCCGGAAUUGCCUUUAAGACUGCAUCGCUUGAAUCAUGGAGAGGUGAGUGGAAUUCCGAGUGUAGAGGUGAAAUUCGUAGAUAUUCGGAAGAACACCAGUGGCGAAGGCGACUCACUGGACAUGUAUUGACGCUGAGGUGCGAAAGCGUGGGGAGCAAACAGG